CUUCACCAAUAAGACACUGGAUGGUUUACACACCGUCCAAUAAUCAUCACAAGCUUACAAGGUGGAGUUAAAAUUGAUAGACAUAAACUUUUAACCAUUGUAUCGUGGGAUAGUUAAGCAGUUAGCCAAUGGAAAAGAGGGGGAGGCGGGAGAAAGGGGAAGGUCGUAUUAAAGACAGCCAGGAAACUAAACCAAUGGACUUGAGCGUUAUUGCAGGGCUACCAAUAGGCGACUCGGAAGGCGGGCCUCUUAUGUGUUUAGGUUCGUGCUUCUCCAGGGAGUGAGACGGCGGCGACUGGGAAAGUUUAUUUUUUUUGGAGGCGGCGUUUCCCCUCCUCCCCCUGCAAUUUGUUUGGAUCUUGAGAUAAGCUGGUAAGGCGGGUAAAGCGGCUCCUGCGAAGCGCCAAGGAGCAGGCGGUGGGCUUCGCGGCUGCACCGCAGCGAACGGAGAGGCGACGAUCGUAGCUUCUUAUGGUAAUUUGAUUUUUGCACUGAAUGUAGCCAGGACAGGUCCUAGUGGGCUUCAAUAGCCCUAAGAAGCUAUCAAGAAUUUCAUAUUUCAGCAGAAUUUUGCACAGAUUCUGUUCCCAUGCAAACUGAUGAGGGAGAAAUUUUGGAAGAAGGCAGUUCCAAGAUGGAACAUGAGGAUUUUGUAAUGGAAGGGCAUGGCAAGACUCCACCUCCUGGUGAAGAAAACAAACAGUGCAUUUGUUAUGAAAUAUGAGUCUUAGCAUUUCAGUCCUGAACAAAUCCAAGUAAGUACUAUUAUAUGCACUAGGAGUUGUAAUUAAACUAUAGUGUUACUCUGCAGCAGUAUACUAUGGUCUAAUGAAAGUGCAUAAAGAUCAUAGUGAAUUACUUUAGAUAAUGCAGUUAAAUUUAAUUGUUAUGGGAUUUUUUUCUUUUGACAUAUUCUGUAAUCCAAACGGUAUUGAUUUAUUUAAGAGACUCCCAGUAUUGCAUCAUGAAACAACUGUUUUAAGGCAGUUCACAGCAAUUCUUCAGUACUUUUGUUAUCAUUAUCUUAAGACUUGACUGAAUGAAUUUCAGAUCAGUGUGAGCUGUAGUGACAUUAUAUCCUCCGAUCAGUAGGCUUUUGCUUACCUCUCACAGUCUAAAGUCCACUUUCUUAUGUAUUCCUUUUCCAUCAAUUAUAUUGGUCUCUAGUUUCCCAUCGGAUAUGGAGUGUUUUGUUAAUGAAAUUUAUGCCUUCUAGACAUCUUUACUACAAACUCUUUUUUAUCAAUCCAUACUUUUAGCACUUUUAGUUUCAUGUGAACUGAAAUUCACUGAAUUAAAAACUGUCAUGUGCAGCCACCUUAACUUGGAUAAGUGAUUGGCUUAAUUUAACAAAUAAGGAUAUUCUUCCUCUUGAAAGGUGAGAUUUAAUGUAUGGUUGGCAUGCAUAUUUAAUUUUUAACAAGAAAGU